rnacentral:tRNA from 1 species
GCCCCUAUCGUCUAGAGGCCUAGGACACCGCCCUUUCACGGCGGUAACAGGGGUUCGAAUCCCCUAGGGGACGCCA